GUAGCUGACGUGCAAUGGGGCGGAUUUCAUUCAGGGUCAGUGGUGCCCGUCUCUGAUUCAUCAAAUCCCAAAGGCUCCUGUCCAGCAUCUGGAAGGCGAUGCAAGACAUGCCUUUGAAUAUGAAACUGUCUUCGAAUCUUACCAAGUUGUUUACCUCUGGGUCAAGGAUCCUGAGUUGUUUCAGCAUUUUCACUUCUUCGACGUGAUCUAUCAACUCUUUGUUGAUCUUGAUGGCCACAACCUCGGAUGUAUUUAAAUUGAUACACUUGGCAACCUUGCCAAAACUUCCUUCUCCAAUGAAGUCUAAAACACGGUAUUGUACAGACUUGUUGCAGAGUAUGUCAUGCUUUUUCAGCUGAAAGUCCUUGUUCAUUUCGUUUUGAGACAUUUUUCCGAUCAAGUCUUUCCAAAUAGUAUCCAAGUUAAGUAGUAUCCAAGUUGAGUGGUAUCCAAGUUGAGUAGAUGCAGAAGAGCUCGUCUUGCUGUGGGAAUGUGAUGCUAUCUACUGAAGUAACAAGAGAAAUAACAUGCAAUAUAUACUCUGACAUCAAAGGCACAUGUGAUGUCAUCAAAGCCAUAUUUAAGUUCUAGAACAUCAAAGUCACAUGGGAUGUGUCACCAAGGCAACUCUGCAUUCUAAAUAUCAUGGAGUGGAGCUUGAAAAAUAGUAUAAUUUUUCAAAACAACUUGCCCUCAUGCCCAUAAUUUGCAGUCUUUAUCAAUCAUUUUAGGUCAAAUUGUAGGAAAUGUUGUGCUGGUCACAGACAUGGGUCAGUGGACUUCACCUAACCCUAACCCAACCAACUGCUCCAUUAGACUCAAUGUCUUAUUGGAAUAUCCCAGGGUAGUUAAAUCAAACUGUGUCAGUGUAUAGCUGGACAUUUUAUUCAUUUCUAUUUCGAUAAUUUCACUUAAAACUGUUAUGUUAAUUUUGCGCGAAAGACGUCUUCCAGUCAGUCCACUGAAAAAUCCAUUCUCAGUGUAUGCGCACUGGAAGAUUUCCACACACAUCUUUGAGAGGAAGGGAUCUUUUACAAUAGAAAAUGUAAUAAUAGACUAUGCGAUACGCUCUAAGGCCAUGUUUGAAGGAGGUUUAGCUGAGAUGGACUGUCUUGUCUGCAGGACACCAAAUGAAACGGCGUCUCCACUUAAUAUAUUCUAACAGGCUUCUUGGUUCUUUUUGUCUGGUAGCCUGGGGAAUAAACAAGAAGACAUUGGAAAGAUAAACGCAUUAUAGUCAAAUCACAAAUGUUGAUGGAAUCUUUCGUCCUUUCAGUCUGAUUCUCCCCCUCCUCUCUCUCCUUUUUAUAUAACCAAUAAUUCACUGCAUCUAUUAAGCUGUAAUUUCACAACCCAUUCAUUUGAUUUCAGCCCAAUCUCUCCGUCUGCCCUGGCUGAGCUGCUGGAACUCCAGGAAAGUGGACACAUCUCCUCUUCGGUUGCCAAGCAGGUGUUCCAGGAGAUGUGGAGGUCAUCAGGUAAGACGGCCUCUCAGAUCAUCCAGGAGCAGGACUUGGGUCUUGUUAGUGACACCACACAGCUGCACAACAUCUGCCAGAAGGUGGUGGACUUGCACCCUGAUGAGGUUCACGCCAUCAGAAACGGAAACAAGAAAGUUCUGAAUAAGCUGAUGGGCCUGGUUCAGAAAGAGACCAAAGGCCGAGCCGACCCAGUUCUGGUGAGGGCAAUUUUACAAGAGAAGACUUCAUGAUUUGUCCUGCAAGACCCAAACGUCAGACACCGAGUCAAAGGCCUUCAUGAAAGAAGAACGACAUGACAGAGUAAUGUCACAGCGAUUCAUGGUCCCUGGUGGGUUGAUAAAACUGUUGAAUAUUGAUUGAGAGGUUGAUAUUUUUGUAAAUACUGAACAAUGUUUUCAUCUGACAACCAUUAUCUUCCAUGUUUGUUAUAAAAGUAACAAAGCUUUUCCGAUUUAAUGCUCUGUGUGGCAGUGUGUUGGAUCAGUUGUCAUUCAUGAAUCCCGAGUUACAGAAAAUAAAUGUCAUAUUUUGACAUGUUAUAUGUUUGAAUGAGAAUAGCAUGUAAAAAAAAAACAAAAAAAAGGUACUUGUCUCGUGACAAAUGAUGCAUCUUAAUUAACUCAUUAAAUGUUUAAUUGAAAUGGUCCGGUUAGGAAACAAAGAAGAUUGUGAUUUCAACAACAAAUUCCUCCAAACAGUCCUGCAUAUAAUUCGAUAUAAACCUUUCAAUAAACUUUGUGCCAUUGGCAACUGC